rnacentral:rRNA from 1 species
GACGAACGCUGGCGGCGUGCUUAACACAUGCGAGUCGAACGGAAAGGCCCUGCUUUUGUGGGGUGCUCGAGUGGCGAACGGGUGAGUAACACGUGAGUAACCUGCCCUUGACUUUGGGAUAACUUCAGGAAACUGGGGCUAAUACCGGAUAGGAGCUCCUGCUGCAUGGUGGGGGUUGGAAAGUUUCGGCGGUUGGGGAUGGACUCGCGGCUUAUCAGCUUGUUGGUGGGGUAGUGGCUUACCAAGGCUUUGACGGGUAGCCGGCCUGAGAGGGUGACCGGCCACAUUGGGACUGAGAUACGGCCCAGACUCCUACGGGAGACAGCAGUGGGGAAUAUUGCACAAUGGGCGGAAGCCUGAUGCAGCAACGCCGCGUGCGGGAUGACGGCCUUCGGGUUGUAAACCGCUUUCGCCUGUGACGAAGCGUGAGUGACGGUAAUGGGUAAAGAAGCACCGGCUAACUACGUG